rnacentral:ncRNA from 1 species
UCACCAUAAUGCUCCCGCUAACCAAGACCUAUGGGAGGAUAAAUUACGUCUUUCAUAUCCAGUAGCGAGGGGUUACUGGAAAUAAGUUUCGCAU